CAGUAGCCGCGGUAAUACGUAGGUGGCAAGCGUUGUCCGGAAUUAUUGGGCGUAAAGGGCUCGCAGGCGGUUUCUUAAGUCUGAUGUGAAAGCCCCCGGCUCAACCGGGGAGCGUCAUUGGAAACUGGGAAACCUGAGUGCAGAAGAGGAGAGUGGAAUUCCACGUGUAGCGGUGAAAUGCGUAGAGAUGUGGAGGAACACCAGUGGCGAAGGCGACUCUCUGGUCUGUAACUGACGCUGAGGAGCGAAAGCGUGGGGAGCGAACAGGAUUAGAUACCCCUGUAGUCCCUGUCUCUUAUAA
rnacentral:rRNA from 1 species